rnacentral:rRNA from 1 species
ACAUCCAGCGAACUUGGCAGAGAUGCCUUGGUGCCUUCGGGAACGCUGAGACAGGUGCUGCAUGGCUGUCGUCAGCUCGUGUUGUGAAAUAUUGGGUUAAGUCCCGNAACGAGCGCAACCCUUAUCCUUUGUUGCCAGCGAUUCGGUCGGGAACUCAAAGGAGACUGCCGGUGAUAAACCGGAGGAAGGUGGGGAUGACGUCAAGUCAUCAUGGCCCUUACGAGUAGGGCUACACACGUGCUACAAUGGCGCAUACAAAGAGAAGCGACCUCGCGAGAGCAAGCGGACCUCAUAAAGUGCGUCGUAGUCCGGAUCGGAGUCUGCAACUCGACUCCGUGAAGUCGGAAUCGCUAGUAAUCGUGGAUCAGAAUGCCACGGUGAAUACGUUCCCGGGCCUUGUACACACCGCCCGUCACACCAUGGGAGUGGGUUGCAAAAGAAGUAGGUAGCUUAACCCUCGGGAGGGCGCUUACCACUUUGUGAUUCAUGACUGGGGUGAAGUCGUAACAAGGUAAGCGUAGCGAG